ensembl:lncRNA
GGUCCAUAAAAGGUAUGAAAGUUGUCGUCAGAAUACGCCAUCUGCCAUCAGACGUGCAAUCCUGGUUAUAUGAAGCAACGGGAACACUUUUUGUAAGCAAAGAAAACAAAAAUAAUGACUUAUUCAACAAUUCCUUUGUCAACAGCCUCCUCUGUGUCUGUCCAUAUCACCGUAUGCUGUGUAUGCUCUUCUGUAUCAUCCGCGCCACAAGGAUAUGCUGUUUCUACAUGUAUUUAGCUUUGAUUUGAAAUAAAUCAGUGCUUCAUAUAACCCAGAUUGCACGUCUGAUGGCAGAUGGAGUAUUCUGAUGAUGACUUUCAUACCUUUUAUGGACCUUGACACUAUUAUUUACUUGGCAGUCUAUGGACAGUCACAGGCCUCCCGGUUUUCAUCCAAAAUAUCUUAAAUUGUGUUCCGAAGACAAAUGAAGCUUUUAUGGGUUUGGAAUGACAUGGGGGUAAGUGAUUAAUGACAAAAUUUUCAUUUUGGGGUGGAGUAUCCCUUUAAACCAAUGUCUUACAGAUUUGGAACAAUAUCAGGGUGUGUAAAUGUAAAAGCUUUAUUUGAAUUUUCUUAAAUGACUGUUUUGGGUGAACUAUCCCUCCCAUGUCGGAUGUAAGCUUGACCAUGAGUUUGGGAGUUUUUUGGAUAAUACUUUGUAAGUUUAAAAUGUUGGUUCAGGGUGUAUAUUGGAUUUAUACCAUACUAUAAACAGGACUUGCUGGUCAAUAGUAUGGAUCAAAGCCACUGAUAGAGUUAUCUCUUUUAAUGGAGCUUCAUUAAUGUUUUGAUGAUAAUUUAAUAACACCUUACAGUAAGUGGAAGAUGGUGGCCUUGAGAUUCUAAUGUUCUGAAGAGGGUGAAGAAAGUGCUCUGGAAAGUCAAAGUAAUGUGAAAUGUUUGAAAGUUUAAACUAUUUCUGAAAAGAUACUGAAUUAUUUUUAUUAUUUUUACUUUUCUGCCGCCUUCAUGAGACACAUUUAAUAGUAAAGAGUCAUAUUGCUAAGGCCAUAAGACUAGUGGCAGAGUAAUUUAAUUGAAAUAACAAACUGAUGGUAAAUACAAGACUGUGAGUCUGUGGAAAUAAUCAAACACAGCUAUAUGCACAUUUAAAUAUCUUUGGUAGAAAAUUUUUUAAAUAAGCUGGAACUAAUUGGUACUCUCAAAAUGUCAGGCCAAAACGUCCUGAAAAGCUUUGAAUCGUAUUUAGGGGUUGAAAAACCUAGAAAGGAACUUAGUGUUAUGUAAACGCUUAGUUUAAUGUACUGUUGUGUGUCGCUUGUGUAUUGCUUCAUAAACUAGCCUACUACAGCUAGAAACAAUACGCAACAAUAUAAUGAUGGCACAGAUGAAAACAUCUACAGAGAGAUCCUGAUAUGUGUGUCUCUGGUGGUAAUUAUCAUGUAAACAAAAAAAAUAAAUAAAUAAAUAAAAUGAAGCAAUACAAAUGACACUGAUAAGCCAGCAGAAAAGUGUUUUGUUAACCAAGAGCAACGUGAUGGUUCAGAACUGCAUUACAAAUUCAGUAACCUUGGAAUUAGCUAAUUGCAAGCUGCAGGUCAUACUAUAAAUCAGCUCCCAUAUACUGUGCCUGACUAAUUCUUCAGAUCUGUUACUGAUUGUGAUGGACACUGUUUUAGCCAUUUCAGAUUGUAUGUUUCAUUCAAAGCAAUAGCAGACUGAAAUGAAUAAAUGUUGUAGCUCAGAAGACAAUCUGAAUGGAUAACGAAUCACAUUGUUAUACAAUGACUCGGUUGUGCCUGAGCAUCAGAUUAUUAUUUUCUGUAAAUUUCAUCACUUUUAUUUUUAUUGUUUCAUACCAUAAAUUGUAUACCAUGUUCUGUACCAAUAAUACAUUAAAGCGGUUUAUUUUUAUGUUUUGAUUUGUAUGAAGCCCA